rnacentral:rRNA from 1 species
UACGUAGGGGGCGAGCGUUGUCCGGAAUUAUUGGGCGUAAAGAGCGUGUAGGCGGUCCGGUAAGUCCGCUGUGAAAGUCGGGGGCUCAACCCUCGAAUGCCGGUGGAUGCUGUCGGGCUAGAGUGCGGAAGAGGCGAGUGGAAUUCCUGGUGUAGCGGUGAAAUGCGCAGAUAUCGUGAGGAAGACCAGUUGCGAAAGCGGGUCUCUGGGCAAUUCCUGACGCUGAGGCACGAAGGCUAGGGGAGCAAACGGG